rnacentral:rRNA from 1 species
GACGAACGCUGGCGGCGUGCUUAACACAUGCAAGUCGAACGGAAAGGCCCUGCUUUUGUGGGGUGCUCGAGUGGCGAACGGGUGAGUAACACGUGAGUAACCUGCCCUUGACUUUGGGAUAACUUCAGGAAACUGGGGCUAAUACCGGAUAGGAGCUCCUGCUGCAUGGUGGGGGUUGGAAAGUUUCGGCGGUUGGGGAUAGACUCGCGGCUUAUCAGCUUGUUGGUGGGGUAGUGGCUUACCAAGGCUUUGACGGGUAGCCGGCCUGAGAGGGUGACCGGCCACAUUGGGACUGAGAUACGGCUCAGACUCCUACGGGAGGCAGCAGUGGGGAAUAUUGCACAAUGGGCGGAAGCCUGAUGCAGCAACGCCGCGUGCGGGAUGACGGCCUUCGGGUUGUAAACCGCUUUCGCCUGUGACGAAGCGUGAGUGACGGUAAUGGGUAAAGAAGCACCGGCUAACUACGUG